rnacentral:rRNA from 1 species
GAUGAACGCUGGCGGCGUGCCUAAUACAUGCAAGUCGAGCGAACGGACGAGAAGCUUGCUUCUCUGAUGUUAGCGGCGGACGGGUGAGUAACACGUGGAUAACCUACCUAUAAGACUGGGAUAACUUCGGGAAACCGUAGCUAAUACCGGAUAAUAUUUUGAACCGCAUGGUUCAAAAGUAAAAGACGGUCUUGCUGUCACUUAUAGAUGGAUCCGCGCUGCAUUAGCUAGUUGGUAAGGUAACGGCUUACCAAGGCAACGAUGCAUAGCCGACCUGAGAGGGUGAUCGGCCACACUGGAACUGAGACACGGUCCAGACUCCUACGGGAGGCAGCAGUAGGGAAUCUUCCGCAAUGGGCGAAAGCCUGACGGAGCAACGCCGCGUGAGUGAUGAAGGUCUUCGGAUCGUAAAACUCUGUUAUUAGGGAAGAACAUAUGUGUAAGUAACUGUGCACAUCUUGACGGUACCUAAUCAGAAAGCCACGGCUAACUACGUG